rnacentral:rRNA from 1 species
GAUGAACGCUGGCGGCGUGCCUAACACAUGCGAGUCGAACGGAGAUUACGGACGGAAGUUUUCGGAUGGAAGACUGUAAUUCUUAGUGUCGGACGGGUGAGUAACGCGUGGGCAACCUGCCCUAUACAGGGGGAUAGCAGCUGGAAACGGCUGGUAAGACCGCAUAAGUCGGUUAAAUCGCAUGAUUUAAUCGGGAAAUGAGCAAUCAGGGAUAGGAUGGGCCCGCGUCCGAUUAGCCAGUUGCCAGGGUAAAAGCCUACCAAAGCGACGUUAGGUACCUGGACAGAAAGGUAGGACGGCCACGUUGGGGCUGAGACACAGCACAAACUCCUACGGGAGGCAGAAGUGGGGGAUAUUGCACAAUGGAGGAAAAUCUGAUGAAGCGACGCCGCGUGAGUGUAGAAGUAUUUCGGUAUGUAAAGCUCUAUCAGCAGAGAAGAUGAUGACGGUACCUGACUAAGAAGCCCCGGCUAACUACGUG